AUUGAACGCUGGCGGCAGGCCUAACACAUGCAAGUCGAGCGAGCGGCGGACGGGUGCGUAAUGUCUGGGAAACUGCCUGAUGGAGGGGGAUAACUACUGGAAACGGUAGCUAAUACCGCAUACCAUCAGAUGUGCCCAGAUGGGAUUAGCUAGUAGGUGGGGUAACGGAUCACCUAGGCGACGAUCCCUAGCUGGUCUGAGAGGAUGACCAGCCACACUGGAACUGAGACACGGCCCAGACUCCUACGGGAGGCAGCAGUGGGGAAUAUUGCACAAUGGGCGAAAGCAUGAUCCAGCCAUGCCGCGGGUGUGAAGAAGGCCUUCGGGUUGUAAAGCACUUUCAGCGGGGAGGCGUUACCCACAGAAGAAGCACCGGCUAACUCCGUGCCAGCAGCCGCGGUAAUAC
rnacentral:rRNA from 1 species